rfam:Picoides pubescens contig78458, whole genome shotgun sequence.
UAGCCUGAAGUGAUGAGCUUAGUUCAUGUCUCUUCUCUGAGAUUGAUGCUGGAGAUACUCCAAAUACUCUGAUCAGGCAC